rnacentral:rRNA from 1 species
UGUUGGUGAGGUAACGGCUCACCAAGGCUACGAUGGAUAGGGGAACUGAGAGGUUUAUCCCCCACACUGGAACUGAGACACGGUCCAGACUCCUACGGGAGGCAGCAGUGAGGAAUAUUGGUCAAUGGAGGCAACUCUGAACCAGCCAAGUCGCGUGAAGGAUGACGGUCUUAUGGAUUGUAAACUUCUUUUGUACAGGAAUAAAGUUAGCCACGUGUGGUUUUUUGCAUGUACUGUACGAAUAAGGAUCGGCUAACUCCGUGCCAGCAGCCGCGGUAAUACGGAGGAUCCGAGCGUUAUCCGGAUUUAUUGGGUUUAAAGGGUGGGCAGGCGGGAAGUUAAGUCGGCGGAGAAAUUUUGCGGCUCAACCGUAAAAGUGCCUUCGAAACUGGCAUUCUUGAGUAUGGAUGAAGUAGGCGGAAUUUGUGGUGUAGCGGUGAAAUGCUUAGAUAUCACGAGGAACUCCGAUUGCGCAGGCAGCUUACUAAACCAUAACUGACGCUCAUGCAAGAAGGCGUGGGGAUCAAACAGGAUUAGAUACCUUGGUAGUCCACGCAGUAAACGAUGAUUACUAGUUGUUUGCGAUACACAGUA